AUUGAACGCUGGCGGCAGGCCUAACACAUGCAAGUCGAGCGAGCGGCGGACGGGUGAGUAAUGUAUGGGGACUGCCCGAUAGAGAGGGAUAACUACUGGAAGCGGUAACUAAUACCGCAUACUAUCGCCUUACCCCUAUUGGAUUAGCUAGUAGGUGAGGUAAUGGCGCACCUAGGCGACGAUCCCUAGCUGGUCUGAGAGGAUGAUCAGCCACACUGGGACGGAGACACGGCCCAGAGUCCUACGGAGGCAGCAGUGGGGAAUCUUGCACAAGGGGCGGAAGCCUGAUGCAGCCAUGCCGCGUGUAUGAAGAAGGCACUAGGGGUGUAAAGUACUGUCAGUCGGGAGGCGUUACCGACAGAAGAAGCACCGGCUAACUCCGUGCCAGCAGCCGCGGUAAUAC
rnacentral:rRNA from 1 species